rnacentral:sRNA from 1 species
UCGUUGCAAGUUCCCGAUAGGAUUCGUAAUUCGAAGAUGCCUUGUAACCGAAAUAUUAAAACUGGCUGACUUUUGUUGAAGUAGGGCCAUGUAGGGGGAAUCAUC